rnacentral:rRNA from 1 species
AUUGAACGCUGGCGGAAUGCUUUACACAUGCAAGUCGAACGGCAGCACGGGGGCAACCCUGGUGGCGAGUGGCGAACGGGUGAGUAACACAUCGGAACGUGCCCAGUCGUGGGGGAUAACGUAGCGAAAGCUACGCUAAUACCGCAUACGAACUCUGGUUGAAAGCGGGGGACUCGCAAGGGCCUCGCGCGAUUGGAGCGGCCGAUGGCAGAUUAGGUAGUUGGUGGGGUAAAGGCCUACCAAGCCGACGAUCUGUAGCUGGUCUGAGAGGACGACCAGCCACACUGGGACUGAGACACGGCCCAGACUCCUACGGGAGGCAGCAGUGGGGAAUUUUGGACAAUGGGCGCAAGCCUGAUCCAGCCAUUCCGCGUGCAGGAU